rnacentral:misc_RNA from 1 species
CUAACUAUUCGCGAUUCAAUCUUCAAAAUAUUGUCGAAGGAAGAUGGAGUUCGAUAAGCCUCAAAUUUAUCACGAGAAGCAAAGAUUGCAAUUCUGCCUUUUGCACGCCCUCAACAAUCUCUUCCAGCAAAAGGAUGAGUUUACUCGAGCCAGCUUGGAUGCAAUUGCUCAGAAACUCGUUUUGGAUGAUCCAAACAAGCAGAACCAGACACCCUUUUCUAUUGUCUUCAAGCCUCAUCAUAAUUCCCUCACUGGAAACUAUGACAUCAACGUCUUGAUAGCCGCCCUUGAAGAGAAAGGUAAGACUGUAGCUUGGCAUGACCGGCGAAAUGGGGCUUCUUCAAUUCAUCUUGAUAAUCAUAGUAAUGGGUCUGAAGAUAGUAAAUUGUUUGGUAUAGUGCUUAAUGUUCAAGUUAGACGGUAUGCUGGGCUUUGGAAGAGUAGGCAUUGGGUUGCUUUGAGAAAGAUUGGCGGGGGUUUGGGGUUUGGUAUAAUUUGGACAGUGAUCUUAGUGAGCCUAUGGCUUUUCAGGAUGCUGAUAAGGUCAGGGGAUUCUUGGAUUGCAUUAUUGGUCAGGGUGG